CAGAGUUACUACUCCAAACCCAUUGUGAACCUUACCUAUGUUCUGUUGCCUCGGCGGCGUCGGUCAGCGCCCCUCUGAGAAGAGGACGAUGCCCCUCCCGCCGGCAGCACCAAACUCUUGAAUUUUACAGCGGAUUACAGUUCUGAUUUGAAAACAAAAAACAAGUUAA
rnacentral:rRNA from 1 species